rnacentral:rRNA from 1 species
UAUCUCUGUAGAGUCUGCAUAUCAAUAAGCGGAGGAAAAGAAACUAACAAGGAUUCCCUUAGUAACGGCGAGUGAAGCGGGAAGAGCUCAAAUUUGAAAUCUUCAAGGUUCUACCUUGACGAAUUGUAGUUUAAAGAAGUGUUUUCUGUUAGAUGAGUAGCAAAAGUUCCUUGGAAUGGGACAUCAUAGAGGGUGAGAAUCCCGUAUUUGGUUAUUCAUUCUAGCUUUGUGAUACACUUUCAAAGAGUCGGAUUGUUUGGGAAUGCAGUCCAAAAUGGGUGGUAAAUUUCAUCUAAAGCUAGAUAUUGGCGAGAGACCGAUAGCGAACAAGUACCGUGAGGGAAAGAUGAAAAGAACUUUGAAAAGAGAGUUAAACAGUACGUGAAAUUGUCAAAAGGGAAGCGUUUGACACCAGUGUUGUUUUUCCGAAAAUCAAUUACGAAUGGCUUGAUUUUGUGUUGUAUUGACCUUAUCAGCUUUCUUCACUUUUUUCGAGUCUUUCUUAAUGCACUUUUCGGUUAACAAGUCAACAUCAAUUUCUUUUGUUGUAAAAGAGUAUUCGGAAGGUGGCUUUCUUUUCGGAGAAAGUGUUUAUAGCCCUAUACUUCUACAAUCGGAGAGAUUGAGGUCUGCAGCGUAGAUCCUUCGGGGUUAGAUACACUUGUGCUAAGUUGUAGCAUUUCAUAGACAACUUGUUGACUAUGUAUAGUCUUGCGGCUUACUCGCUUGUGCUAUUUUACCUACGCUUAGGAUGUUGACUGAUAUGUAGUCGUA